rnacentral:rRNA from 1 species
AUUGAACGCUGGCGGCAGGCCUAACACAUGCAAGUCGAGCGGAGCGGCGGACGGGUGAGUAAUGCCUAGGAAUCUGCCUGGUAGUGGGGGAUAACGUCCGGAAAUGGGCGCUAAUACCGCAACCUAUCAGAUGAGCCUAGGGCGGAUUAGCUUGUAGGUGGGGUAAAGGCCCACCAAGGCGACGACCCGUAGCUGGUCUGAGAGGAUGAUCAGCCACACUGGAACUGAGACACGGUCCAGACUCCUACGGGAGGCAGCAGUGGGGAAUAUUGGACAAUGGGCGCAAGCCUGAUCCAGCCAUGCCGCGUGGGUGAAGAAGGCCUUCGGGUUGUAAAGCCCUGUUGUUGGGGAAGCGGUACCCAAAGAAUAAGCACCGGCUAACUUCGUGCCAGCAGCCGCGGUAAUUC